ACCCGGAAAACCGCCAGAGAGACGUAGAGAGAGAGAGAGAGAGAGAGAGAGAGAAAGAGGCACAGGUUGGGAAUUUCGGAAGUGUAGAUGGAGAAGAAGAUUUUGAUUAUGGGAUUGUUUUUCUUGUUAAGGAAUUUUGUUAUUUUCUUGGGAAAAAUACAAAAAUAUUAAGCUUUCUUACACGGAAUUUAAUCAUUUCAUCAUAAGCUUUCUGUUUCUUCUUCCUCUUCCAAGUCUUCGUUCUUCCUUCCUUUCCUUGUUCAUAUCCUUGUAUGAGAAAUCGAAAUGACUAAUAGGGUUUUAGCUUCAGCUUCCUCAACAUUUUUUCUUGCUUAUUUCAUCCUAUGAUGCUCAAAACCUUGAAGAAUGGGUGUCAAAAAAGAAAAUUAUACUGCAAAUGUACCACUCUGCCACCUUGUUUCUUCUCUCUCCCUCCACUUUCUGCUACUUACUACUCAUGAGUUCUGCUAGUCUGUUUAAAAAUUUGGUUGCUUGCUGAAAUAUAUAUAAUGGGUUUGUUCCCAAUUCAGUUUUUCUUUUGAAUAUUUAAUGUGGAAAAAAAAAUAAAAAUGAGAAGAAUUAAUUUCCAAGUUUUACUCUUAAUAAUUAAGAACCCAUCAUUUGGUUGGAAAAUUCUCACUAUUUCAAUGCGAAUUGUUUUGUGUCUUUGUUUUUUUCAUUGUUAUAUAAUUUGGUUCAUUGCAAAUCAUCUGAAUUGAUGAUCGAUGAAUUAUUAUAUAUUUUUGUUUCCAUACUAAGUAAAUAUAAGUUCUGAAGCAGAGUUGGAUGUAAGCAAGUGGAGUGUUGAGUUUUGAGGGAUAUGGAAAGCUGGGAGAGGGCUAAAAGCUUGAUCUCUAAUAUGAUUAUCUUCUCCUAAUUAUCCAUUUCUUCAAAAAAUAAUUUUAUAGGAGGCCAUGGAAGAAGGACCUAAGCUACUGAUAUACCAUAUGCAUCUCAGACUGGAAAUGUAUUGGACAUGGCAAAACAAGUUGGCCGUGAAGCUGAGCGCAGAGGCUGCCCUGUCAAGCUUCUAUCUUCUGCAGAGAAAUCAGCAUUGGUAAGAAGGAGCACAUUAUGCUGUGUUUGGUCUCAGUGAUUCCGGUUACCAGAAAUUUAAUCUUGUUGCGAAGAAUCUUGACUGAAGACUUUAGUAUCUUGGGGCAACUGCCAUAGUUGAAAGAGGUUUAGGAAAUGACCAACACCAAAUCAGGGUAUGGCUACAGUACACCAUAGCUGUAUUGGAGCAUUUUCCUUAGUUCAAAUGCCGUUUGAAUGGCUGGUACAAUUGGUUCCUUCUUUGAAAACCAGAGCAUUUUCCAUAUCUUCCUCUCUUUCAGCUCACCCAAAUCAAGUGCACUUAAAACUGUAAAUGUAGUAUCAUUGACAACACCUUAUAAAAGGACACGAUUGGGGUCUCUGCUGAACAUGGCUAAGCCAGCUCGAUCCUGAGGAAUGUAUGGCAUAAAAUACGAUUUUUUAAGGCCCAUUGUUGAUAAGCAACCAAAUGAAUCACCCAUUAAUGCCAUAUUAUUUUGUUUCUGUCAUGAUCAGGCACUCAUAUUCCAAUAUGGUUUCAUAAAGAUUCCCCUCCACCGUCACCUACAUCUCUUCCUCUCAUUCUCAUUGGACCUGGAACUAGUUGUGCACCUUUCCAUGGAUUUGUGGAGGAAAGAUCCAUCCAAAGUGCGACCGAUACAAACGACUUUUUUAUAGAAAGAUUUUUGGUUGUCUCAUUCACAAAAUGAUGGGGUACUAUCAGAAGCAGAAGGGGGAGAGGCUUUUACGUGGCAUUCUCAAGAAACCAGCAACAGAAGGUAUAUGUGCAGCAUAAGAUGAAAGAAUACAGCCGGAGGCUAUGGAAUUUGUUGAACCAGGGAGCUGCAGUCUAUGUUGCCUGUUCUUCAGCCCAAAUGCCCUCAGAUGUAUCAUCAGCCUUUAAAGAUAUUGUUAGAUGGCUUAGGGCACUGCAUAAGGCUGCUAAGUAGUUUGUAGAAGCAUGGACUUGACCUCUGGUUGAAUCUUCAAUAUCAUCUAGAUAGAAAAUAGGCAAGCUUCUGGCUGAAAAUUCUAAGAAUGGAUUUACAGCACUGAGCUAGAAGGCGAAAAUACUUUUGGUUAUGUAUUAUUUUGGUGAAUGUAGAGUCCUUAAGAAGAAAAAUUGAGGAAUAUAAUAUUAAACGACUCUUACAAUUUUUUAGAUUUUUGGAAACAUUUGACGGAAACACACUAACAAUU